GACAGAGGGUGCAAACGUUGUUCGGAUUUACUGGGCGUAAAGCGCGUGUAGGCGGCUUUGCAAGUCGGGGGUGAAAGCCCGAGGCUCAACCUCGGAACUGCCUUCGAUACUGCGGGUCUCGAGUCCGGGAGAGGUGAGUGGAAUUCCUAGUGUAGAGGUGAAAUUCGUAGAUAUUAGGAAGAACACCAGUGGCGAAGGCGGCUCACUGGCCCGGUACUGACGCUGAGGCGCGAAAGCGUGGGGAGCAAACAGG
rnacentral:rRNA from 1 species